UGACGGAGCUCGAAAAGUUGACCAUCCGCCGUCCACAGGCACACGACGAUCGUGCACGGUGGUAACUGUCAGACUAGCGGCCGAUUCAAAACAGUGCCGAGUGUCGUCUCGGUCCCACGAUUGUUUGAUGUUGUGUCGUGAACAACGAACUGGUGAGAUAUAGCAACUGAUUUUUGAGUUGUUCUUCGGGGUGAUAACAAUCCAUCCGGGGAUGAAGCGUGUCGAAACAAUCUAAACCGAUCAAAUAGAGAUAACCGAGUGGAAAGCAGCAGUGCGAAAGAGAUCCACAGCAAAUGUUUAAGCGUGUUGGUGGAUGCGUCUUUCAAUAGGAUGGAUGGAUGGACCUGUGCAAACAUAUGUUUGAGUGUACUAACACACAGAGAUAAAUAUGUUCUCCCCGUUGGGCUCGUCUCUUACGAUUCGCUGCCGAAAUAAACAGAUCGGUAGGAAAAUGGGGCAUGACGGUUCCCAUAAAAUAUUCAAGUAUUGUCACACGUAUGAAUUUUCAUACAUUUAUGAUGAUAGUUCUGCUUAUUAUUUUGAAUUAUAAAUAAUAGAUUAAAAAAACAUAUUGAAUUAAGCCCUUUCGAGUUUGAUAUAGACGUAUCAUAUUUCGGACGCCUGAACUGUAAUGAAUUAAAAUAACAUAAUUUUAUGGAUAUAUAUAUAGAUAUAAAUAUAAGAUAUAUCCUAACAUCCGAGAAGAUUUAUUUAACAAACACUAAAAAAAUAAUGACGGAAAAAUAAUAACGGAAACAAUUUAAUUCAUACAAGACACAAAAAUUACCAUGUAAAAAAACAGUAGACACUAAUUGUGUGUCAAACUGUCGUGUAACUCUGUCGUGUGUUGUGUCAGUCAUCAUUUACCGUUUAUCUAACGAAAGAAACGGUUUAAUGUCUAAAAAAUCAAAUAUAACCUAGGAAUCAGUGCAUUUUAUGAUGGCUAAUAUGAUCAGGAAAAUAUAUAGAUCACAUUUGGGUGAUGGAUUUAUUUCAUUGUAGCUGGUCAUGUUUAUUUUCUUUAUUUUUAUAGAGACUUUGAGCCGAUUGGCAUCAUUCGUUUCUUGGGCAUUUUAAGGCAAAAACAAGCUUUGAAAAUGGUGGCCCAAAAACGAGCUUUCAUUUGAUUGCUAGGGAGUCCAAAUUUACUUAGUAACUCAUAACUCAUACUUAGCUACUCAUAUCUGCCAAUCUCCAUACAAAUCUCAAUCAAUUUCGGAACCUUGGACAGUUUCCAAUUAAGGGUUUACGUCAGUUGGGACGAAAUCGAUAACUAAUAUACAAUACUGAAUAGGCUACGAAAACCUUGUAACAUGUCCCAGCCAUCGUAUCCUGCCAGCCUUCGUAACCGUCAGGAUGUUCGGUUCGCCGUACAGCUCAGCAAGUCGGUGGUUCAUCCUUCUGCUCCACGCUCCAUGCUCGAACGCCAAAGAUGAUCCAGAGGAUGCGUUGCUCAAACACGCCCAGAGCCUUUGCAUCGUCCGUUCGAAUGGUCCAAGACUAGUGUCCAUAGAGGAGCACCGGGAAUCAAUGUUGGAUAUAUCACACAUUUCGUGCGGUCUCGAAGUAUUCUGGAUCUCAGCAGUCAGUCAUUAGUAAGCACGAUUCCCCUGCACAAUGCGUCUCCGGAUUUCACUGCGGAUGUAGUUGUCCGAAGCUACGACCAUCUCAAGAUAGCAGAAAUCUGCUACCAGCUCGAGAUUGUCGCCGUCAACUAAUACACUACUUCCCAGUUGGGCCCUAUCUCAGACUGAGCCUCUUGCAAGCAGGUCCUUCGUCGCAUUGAUUCUCAAACCAAUUCUUGCUGCUUCGCGUUUGAGUUGGGUGUACGCCUCACACAGCUUGACUGUCGUCUUGCCGAUGAUGUCGAUGUCAUCCAUGAAUCCAAGAAAUUAGAGAAACCGGUAGAGGAUCGUGCCACGGAUGUCGUUGUCUAGCCCCGCGCCGCAAAUGAUACCUUCCAGAGCGAUGUUGAAGAACAGGCAGGAGUGUCCGUCACCUUUCCUCAGACCCCUGUGAGAUUCGAACGAUUCCAACGUCAAGUUCGAUACUCUCACCAUGCACUGCAUCCCGUUUAUGGCGGCUUAUAACGUAUCAACUUCCCAGAGAAAUGGUACUGCUGCAUGAUGUUCCAUAGCUCAUUCCGGUCUGUGGUGUCGUAAGCCGCCUUGAAGUCUAUGAACAGGUGGUGCGUAGGGAUCUGGCACUCUUGGCACUUCUGGAAGAUCUGUCCAAGUGUAAAAAUUUAGUCGGUGGUGGAUUUAGCUACAACAAACGGUAGCCGGUAGCUCCAUCAACACUGGUAGCUGCACUCGAUCAAGCGCGGAUUACCGAGCGUGAACUGUAUUCUGAUGAAAAUAAAAAUAAACUAAUGUAGUUUCUAUUACUGUGCAUAAAUUGGUUCUAAUUGCUACGUUUUAAUGCUUUAAAGUUUCAAAGCCGACAGGAUAUUAUUGACAAAAAAAAAACAAA